GACAGAGGAUGCAAGCGUUAUCCGGAAUGAUUGGGCGUAAAGCGUCUGUAGGUGGCUUUUAAGUCCGCCGUCAAAUCCCAGGGCUCAACCCUGGACAGGCGGUGGAAACUACCAAGCUGGAGUACGGUAGGGGCAGAGGGAAUUUCCGGUGGAGCGGUGAAAUGCGUAGAGAUCGGAAAGAACGCCGGUGGCGAAAGCGGUCUGCUGGACCUCUUCUGACGCUGAGGCGCGAAAGCCAGGGGAGCAAACGGG
rnacentral:rRNA from 1 species